rnacentral:rRNA from 1 species
GACAGAGGGUGCAAACGUUGUUCGGAAUUACUGGGCGUAAAGCGCGUGUAGGCGGCAAGGCAAGUCGGAUGUGAAAGCCCCGCGGCUCAACCGUGGAAGUGCACUCGAAACUGCCUAGCUAGAGUCUCGGAGAGGAAGGUGGAAUGCUUGGUGUAGAGGUGAAAUUCGUAGAUAUCAAGCAGAACACCUGUGGCGAAGGCGGCCUUCUGGACGGAUGACUGACGCUGAGACGCGAAAGCGUGGGGAGCAAACAGG